UACAGAGGUCCCAAGCGUUGUUCGGAUUCACUGGGCGUAAAGGGUGCGUAGGUGGUCGGGUAAGUCUGAUGUGAAAUCUCCGAGCUUAACUCGGAAAUGGCAUUGGAUACUAUUCGGCUAGAGGGUUGGAGGGGGGACUGGAAUACUUGGUGUAGCAGUGAAAUGCGUAGAUAUCAAGUGGAACACCAGUGGCGAAGGCGAGUCCCUGGACAACUCCUGACACUGAGGCACGAAAGCUAGGGGAGCAAACAGG
rnacentral:rRNA from 1 species